rnacentral:rRNA from 1 species
UUUAAACUUGAGAGUUUGAUCAUGGCUCAGAACGUACGCUGGCGGCACGCCUAACACAUGCAAGUCGAACGAAGUAGCAAUACUUAGUGGCAGACGGGUGAGUAACAUGUAGGUAUCUGCCCUUUGGCCUGGAAUAACACGAGGAAACUUGUGCUAAUACCGGAUAAGUCUUUACGGAGAAAGCUUUAUGCACCAUUGGAUGAGCCUGCACUUGAUUAGUUUGUUGGUGGGGUAAUGGCCUACCAAGACUUUGAUCAAUAGCUGAUUUGAGAGGAUGAUCAGCCACAUUGGGACUGAGACACGGCCCAAACUCCUACGGGAGGCAGCAGUGGGGAAUCUUGCACAAUGGAGGAAACUCUGAUGCAGCGAUGCCGCGUGAGUGAAGAAGGCCUUUGGGUUGUAAAGCUCUUUCGUCGGGGAAGAAAAUGACUGUACCCGAAUAAGAAGGUCCGGCUAACUUCGUGCCAGCAGCCGCGGUAAUACGAAGGGACCUAGCGUAGUUCGGAAUUACUGGGCUUAAAGAGUUCGUAGGUGGUUGAAAAAGUUGGUGGUGAAAUCCCAGAGCUUAACUCUGGAACUGCCAUCAAAACUUUUCAGCUAGAGUAUGAUAGAGGAAAGCAGAAUUUCUAGUGUAGAGGUGAAAUUCGUAGAUAUUAGAAAGAAUACCAAUUGCGAAGGCAGCUUUCUGGAUCAUUACUGACACUGAGGAACGAAAGCAUGGGUAGCGAAGAGGAUUAGAUACCCUCGUAGUCCAUGCCGUAAACGAUGUGUGUUAGACGUUGGAAAUUUAUUUUCAGUGUCGCAGCGAAAGCGAUAAACACACCGCCUGGGGAGUACGACCGCAAGGUUAAAACUCAAAUGAAUUGACGGGGACCCGCACAAGUAGUGGAGCAUGUGGUUUAAUUCGAAGAUACGCGCAGAACCUUACCAACACUUGACAUGUUCGUCGCGACUCUAAGAGAUUAGAGUUUUCGGUUCGGCCGGACGAAACACAGGUGCUGCAUGGCUGUCGUCAGCUCGUGUCGUGAGAUGUUGGGUUAAGUCCCGCAACGAGCGCAACCCUCACUUUUAGUUGCCAUCAUUAAGUUGGGCACUCUGAAAGAACUGCCAGUGAUAAGCUGGAGGAAGGUGGGGAUGACGUCAAGUCCUCAUGGCCCUUACGUGUUGGGCUACACACGUGCUACAAUGGUAUCUACAACAGGAAGCAAGACGGCGACGUCAAGCAAAUCCUUAAAAGAUACCUCAGUUCGGAUUGCACUCUGCAACUCGAGUGCAUGAAGCUGGAAUUACUAGUAAUCGUGGAUCAGCGUGCCACGGUGAAUGCGUUCCCGGGUCUUGUACACACCGCCCGUCACACCAUGGGAGUUGGUUCUACCUUAAGGCAAGGUUUUAAACCCUUGACCACGGUAUAGUCAGCGACUGGGGUGAAGUCGUAACAAGGUAGCCGUAGGGGAACCUGCGGCUGGAUUACCUCCUUUCUAA